CCCUCUUGGGUCUUUUACAAGUGAACUUUCUUUCCUGUUUUAAAGCCUUUUAAAUAAACUUCCACUCCUGUGCUGAAACUUGCCUUAGUCUUUUUUUCUGCUUUAUGCCCCUCAGUCGAAUUCUUUCAUCUGAGGAGGCAAGAAUUGAAGUUGCUGCAGACGCCUGUGGAUUCACCACAAGUACAUUGGAGUAACCACUGGGAACAACAGGUUGCCUUAGAAGCUUUGCAGAAGCUUACAAAGCCAUCUUUGAUUGACUGAUUCUUUGACAAUGACUAUCUGGAUGACACAGGAAGGAUGCAAUUCUGGCCUUGGAGAGAAAACUUGCAAGGAAAGGAACAUGUUUGAAUUUCAGAUGUGUUCCUCAAUGAAUCACUUGAAGAUGAAAAUUCUAAGUAAUCUCACCAGGUUGGACAACUGGCUAUGAAAUGGCAUGAAAUAUGAUCUUCAGGGAAUGUUUCAGGUGGAGGAAGGGGCUCUUGGUCAAUGAGCCUGAAGACUGCAUGGCAACCUUUGCCAGCUUUUGGCCUGAAAACUCAACUUCUUCAUUUGAGAUAAUUCCUGUUUUAUAUACUUUCAUUUGAGAUAUUCCUGGUGUAUCAACUGAAACAAAAUCUAUGAAAUAUCAGAUUCACAAAAAUACAUUUUGAAUAUUGAACGUGGA
rnacentral:lncRNA from 1 species